rnacentral:rRNA from 1 species
GGACCCGCACAAGCGGUGGAUGAUGUGGAUUAAUUCGAUGCAACGCAGAAAACCUUACCUACCCUUGACAUGUCAGGAAUCCCGUAGAGAUUGGGAGUGCCGCAAGGAACCUGAACACAGGUGCUGCAUGGCUGUCGUCAGCUCGUGUCGUGAGAUGUUGGGUUAAGUCCCGCAACGAGCGCAACCCUUGUCAUUAGUUGCCAUCAUUUAGUUGGGCACUCUAAUGAGACUGCCGGUGACAAACCGGAGGAAGGUGGGGAUGACGUCAAGUCCUCAUGGCCCUUAUGGGUAGGGCUUCACACGUCAUACAAUGGUCGGUACAGAGGGUUGCCAAGCCGCGAGGUGGAGCCAA